rnacentral:rRNA from 1 species
CCUACGGGAGGCAGCAGUGGGGAAUAUUGGACAAUGGGCGUAAGCCUGAACCAGCGAAGCCGCGUGAGGGAUGAAGGUUCUAUGGAUCGUAAACCUCUUUUAUAAGGGAAUAACAUGCGGGGCGUGUCCCGUUUUGUAUGUACCUUAUGAAUAAGGAUCGGCUAACUCCGUGCCAGCAGCCGCGGUAAUACGGAGGAUCAGCGCGUUAUCCGGAUUUAUUGGGUUUAAAGGGUGCGUAGGCGGCCUUUUAAGUCAGCGGUGAAAGUCUGUGGCUCAACCAUAGAAUUGCCGUUGAAACUGGGAGGCUUGAGUACGUUUGAGGCAGGCGGAAUGCGUGGUGUAGCGGUGAAAUGCUUAGAUAUCACGCAGAACCCCGAUUGCGAAGGCAGCCUGCCAAGCCAUGACUGACGCUGAUGCACGAAAGCGUGGGGAGCAAACAGGAUUAGAUACCCCUGUAGUC